GGUGAACGCUGGCGGCGUGCCUCAAACAUGCAAGUCGAACGGACUUCUCAUGAAGCUUGCGAUUGAGAAGUUAGUGGCGGACGGGUGAGUAACGCGUGGGCAACCUGCCCCUGAGCCCGGGAUAACAGUUCGAAAGGACUGCUAAGACCGGAUAUACUUGCGGUGAAGCAUUUCACUGCAAGGAAAGGGAACGCUCAGGGAUGGGCCCGCGUCCCAUUAGCUAGUUGGUGAGGUAACGGCCCACCAAGGCGACGAUGGGUAGCCGGCCUGAGAGGGUGAACGGCCACACUGGGACUGAGACACGGCCCAGACUCCUACGGGAGGCAGCAGUUGGGAAUCUUCGGCAAUGGGCGCAAGCCUGACCGAGCAACGCCGCGUGAGUGAUGAAGGUUUUCGGAUUGUAAAGCUCUGUCUUCCGGGACGAUAAUGACGGUACCGGAGGAGGAAGCCACGGCUAACUACGUGCCAGCAGCGCGGUAAUGAGUAGUACA
rnacentral:rRNA from 1 species